rnacentral:rRNA from 1 species
UGAAACACGGACCAAGGAGUAUACAGUGUGUGCGAGUCAUUGGGUGUAAAACUCAAAGGCGUAAUGAAAGUAAAGAUGCCGUAAGGUAUUGAUAUGCGAUUCGAACACUUCGGUGAACGAAGCAGCAUAGCCCCGUCUUGAUCGCUUGCGAUAGGGCGGAGGUAGAGCACACGCUAUGUGACCCGAAAGAUGGUGAACUAUGCUUGAACAGGAUGAAGCCAGAGGAAACUCUGGUGGAAGUCCGAAGCGAUUCUGACGUGCAAAUCGAUCGUCUGAUUUGAGUAUAGGGGCGAAAGACUAAUCGAACCAUCUAGUAGCUGGUUCCCUCUGAAGUUUCCCCCAGGAUAGCUGGAGCCUGAUAUAUAGUUAUACUCGGUAAAGCGAACGAUUAGAGGACUUGGGGUUGAAAUGACCUUAACCUAUUCUCAAACUCUCAAUGGGUAUGUCGUCUUUGUUUCUUAAUAGAACAUUGACAUUGAAUAUAGGCUCCAAGUGGGCCAUUUUUGGUAAGCA